rnacentral:rRNA from 1 species
GCAGGGAAUCUUGCGCAAUGGGCGAAAGCCUGACGCAGCGACGCCGCGUGGGGGAAGAAGGCCCGCGGGUUGUAAACCCCUUUUCUGGGGGAAGAAACAAGACGGUACCCCAGGAAUAAGCCUCGGCUAACUACGUGCCAGCAGCCGCGGUAAUACGUAGGAGGCGAACGUUGUCCGGAUUUACUGGGCGUAAAGCGCGCGCAGGCGGCCGGGUCGGUCGGUGGUGUAAGCCCACGGCUCAACUGUGGGAGGUUCACCGAUACCACCCGGCUUGAGGGCGGUAGAGGAGCACGGAAUUCCUGGUGUAGUGGUGAAAUGCGUAGAUAUCAGGAGGAACACCCGUGGCGAAAGCGGUGCUCUGGGCCGUCCCUGACGCUCAGGCGCGAAAGCGUGGGGAGCAAACCGG